AAUGAUGGAUCCAUGUGAUUUCAGAUAAGAGGAAUUGAAGAACUGCUUGAAGCCUAUAUUCUCUUAGGCAUUUCAGUAGUACGGAUAGGUUGGAGAGAAGCACAUUUCUCUUGGUGUAUAUACCCGACAAGGAAUGUCUGUAUUGAACCCAAAACGAGUGGGAGAGAAUUGAAAGAAGAGGAUGUGAAGCAAUUUUGAGGAACAAUUGGCUGAAAUUUCUCUCGAGGAUCGACGGGAAAACAUCAAAUUGAAAGAAGUCGAAGGAAGUAGUGCAAAUCACAGAAAUUCAAGAUGGGAGACAGAAGAGACCUGACAGAGGGCAAUUUAGAUCUCAAGAGAUCAAGAAUUAGGAAAACCCCCUCGAGGAUGGAAAGAUUUCGAGUGCAGCGAUAGAACCUUUGAUAUACUGUGCAUAGUUUUUGAUAUAGACAAGUAGUUUUAUCUCUUAAUUUUCAGAUGUAGGAAUUGUAUAUGACAAACAAGCAGCCGGUAUAUCUAUUGAAUGAUGUUUUCUUUUUUCUCUCUCUUUUUUGAUCGAUAAAUAAAAUUGUGUUGUG